CGUCUCGUGGCCUAUCGGUUAGAGCGUCUGCGUCGGAUGCGGGAGAUCGCGGAUUCGAAGCCCGGCUGAGUCGU